rnacentral:sRNA from 1 species
UUUUGGCUUUUUUUUU